AGUGAACGCUGGCGGUAGGCCUAACACAUGCAAGUCGAACGGCAGCACAGUAAGAGCUUGCUCUUACGGGUGGCGAGUGGCGGACGGGUGAGGAAUACAUCGGAUUCUACUUUUUCGUGGGGGAUAACGUAGGGAAACUUACGCUAAUAUCGCAUACGACCUACGUGUGAAAGCAGGGGAUCUUCGGACCUUGCGCGAUUGAAUGAGCCGAUGUCGGAUUAGCUAGUUGGCGGGGUAAAGGCCCACCAAGGCGACGAUCCGUAGCUGGUCUGAGAGGAUGAUCAGCCACACUGGAACUGAGACACGGUCCAGACUCCUACGGGAGGCAGCAGUGGGGAAUAUUGGACAAUGGGCGCAAGCCUGAUCCAGCCAUACCGCGUGGGUGAAGAAGGCCUUCGGGUUGUAAAGCCCUUUUGUUGGGAAAGAAAAGCAGCAGGUUAAUACCCCGCUGUUCUGACGGUACCCAAAGAAUAAGCACCGGCUAACUUCGUG
rnacentral:rRNA from 1 species